rnacentral:rRNA from 1 species
ACGGGCACUACGGUAAGGUAAGACGCGAAACACCCGAUCCCAUUCCGACCUCGAUAUGUGAAGUGAAAUCGUCUUGCGCCAUAUGUACCGCGUUUGCGGGAGACAUGGUCCAGUGCCCGCC